rnacentral:lncRNA from 1 species
UGCUGGGAUUACAGGCGUGAGCCACUGUGCCCUGCCAAAGGCCUUUUCAAAUCUAACGAUGUACUCACAUUUCCACCUGUCUGCCAGCCCUUGUCCAGUUUGACCUGGGCACUCACUGCUGCUCUGGUGGUGAGUACUGCUGAUGGUUCUUUUCCCUGCCCAUCCUUGAGGUGCUCGCUUCAAUAUGUCAAAUGAGGACUCUCAUUACAUUUGGCUGUCAUACAUCAGCCACAACUGUCCUGCCCAGAAGAGCUGGCCUUGGCUUUAAAGCCUACAUCCUGGCUGACCUUCUUUACUGCUUUAUUAAGGAAUCCAACUUGCUGUUUGCUAUCACAUGUGCUAUACAUGCUGUUGAUGAAACUGCUAAAGGGGCUGAAUGUGACUGACGUCUUUGGAAGGAUGAGACUUAGCGUGCCUGUACAGUUGUGUCCAAAUGCUGUCCUCAUCUCCCAAUGAAAAGGGUUUUUCCUUAAGCCUCACAACAAUUUACAGCAUUGCCAGCAGCAUUCAGUACAUUCAGAACAGGAUAAUUUCACCCGCAGCUGAACUAGGGCCAUGCCUGGGACAGACAGAGAAUGGCCUUCCAGCAGACAUGCCAAGAAGCAAGCCAGGGUCAGUGAGUGAAGAGGAGGGCAGGCCCAUUUGAAGCAACACAGUUUAUAUACAUGAAAAGAAAGAAGGAGAGAAGGAAGAAAGGAGGGCGGAAGGAAAGGAAGAAGGGAGAGAAGAAGAGAAGAAAGAAGCAGAGAAAGGAAGAGAAAAGAAAUUACGGCCAGUGCGGUGGCUCACGCCUGUAAUCCUAGCACUUUGGGAGGCCUAAGCGGGCUGAUCACCUGAGGUCAGGAGUUCGUAAGCCAGCCUGGCCAACAUGGUGAAACCCUAUCUCUACUAAAAAUACAAAAAUCAGCAGGGCAUGGUGGUGCGUGCCUGUAAUCCCAGCUACCUGGGAGGCUGAGGUAGGAGAAUCGCUGGAACCCGAGAGGCGGAGGCUGCAGUGAGUUGAGAUCAUGUCACUGCACUCCAGGCUGGGCAACAGAGUGAGACUCUGUCUCAGAAAAAAAAAAAAAGAAAGAAAGAAAGAAAGAAAGUUACCAUUAGUUUUUUGUUGUAUUUGCAAGCAAAGACAAAAGCACCAAGGUACUUGUUUCCUUCUGUAAUUAGAGUUUCAAAUAGACUAAAAGUUUCUGCUCUUAGGUGGGUCUAGAGACUCUCCAGUACCUCAGGACCUCAGGAC